GGGUUGUAGCUCAGUUGGAAGAGCGUUAGACUGAAGAUCUAAAGGUCACUAGUUCGAUUCUAGUCGAUCC
rnacentral:ncRNA from 15 species